CCUACGGGUGGCAGCAGUGGGGAAUAUUGCACAAUGGGGGAAACCCUGAUGCAGCGACGCCGCGUGAGUGAAGAAGUAUUUCGGUAUGUAAAGCUCUAUCAGCAGGGAAGAAAAUGACGGUACCUGAUUAAGAAGCCCCGGCUAACUACGUGCCAGCAGCCGCGGUAAUGAGUAGGGGGCAAGCGUUAUCCGGAUUUACUGGGUGUAAAGGGGGCGUAGACGGCAGCACAAGUCUGGAGUGAAAUGCAGGGGCUUAACCCCGGAACUGCUUUGGAGACUGUGCAGCUAGAGUGCAGGAGAGGUAAGUGGAAUUCCUAGUGUAGCGGUGAAAUGCGUAGAUAUUAGGAGGAACACCAGUGGCGAAGGCGGUUUACUGGACUGUAACUGACGUUGAGGCUCGAAAGCGUGGGGAGCAAACAGGAUUAGAUACCCCGGUAGUC
rnacentral:rRNA from 1 species